rnacentral:tRNA from 1 species
UCCCUGGUGGCUCAGUAGGUUAAGAGUUUGCCUGCAACGCAGGAGACUCAGGUUCGAUCCCUGAGUUGGGGAA